rnacentral:rRNA from 1 species
GUACGCUAUUCAGAGUUUGAUCCUGGCUCAGGAUGAACGCUGGCGGCGUGCUUAACACAUGCAAGUCGAACGGUGAAAGCGGAGCUUGCUCUGCUGGAUCAGUGGCGAACGGGUGAGUAACACGUGAGCAAUCUGCCCUUGACUCUGGGAUAAGCGUUGGAAACGACGUCUAAUACCGGAUACGAGCUGCGAAGGCAUCUUCAGCAGCUGGAAAGAACUUCGGUCAAGGAUGAGCUCGCGGCCUAUCAGCUAGUUGGUGAGGUAAUGGCUCACCAAGGCGUCGACGGGUAGCCGGCCUGAGAGGGUGACCGGCCACACUGGGACUGAGACACGGCCCAG